CGACGUUAUCUUCCACGCUGUUGAUCAGAUACAGGUUUCAAGGGUACUAUUGUGAAUCUGGCAUUGCCUUCUUUGCAUUGAGUUUCUGUUAAAUCACGUUUAUAAUCCCUUUUAGCUUCAAAAGUUUUGCUCUCUAAAAUGCUAAAUCCUUGUCUAGUGCUGAGCCGGUACUAUAGUUCCAAUUAUAAAGUAAAACCAGUUUUAAAGGGAUUGCCGGCAUACUUUCAAGUAACCCUCCAUUAAAACAAAUAACAUACUUUAAACCCUGUUCUACCAUUAAACUUUUAUCUGAGUAACAAUGAGGUAAAUAUUAUAGGUUUUUUAAAAAAAUAUUAAGAAGAGAUCAAUUCAGUCAUUUUACUCAUGAUAAAGGGUUAAGGGUACCGUUGUGCAUUAGGCAUUGUUUGGACUUUUUUUAAAUGUUUAACGUAUUGUACUUCUAAAUAUUCUUAAAAUUCUAAAAGGUUUUACUAAAAAAUCUCAAACAAGUAAAUUUUACUUUUAUCACAUUUAAUCUGAUUCUAUUUUUUCUGAAAACAGAACUCGAAGUUGAUAGUUGAUUGAAUUGGAAAAGAUUGAUUUACUCUUGUUUAGACUUUAAAGAUACCAUAUUGUCAAAAUUUUGACACAAUUAAGGUCUUUAAAGAUACCAUAUUGUCAAAAUUUUGACACAAUUAAGGUCUUUAAAGAUUCCAUAUUGUUAAAAUUUUGACACAAUUAAGGUCUUUAAAGAUACCAUAUUGUUAAAAUUUUGACACAAUUAAGGUCUUUAAAGAUACCAUAUUGUUAAAAUUUUGACACAAUUAAGGUCUUUAAAGAUACCAUAUUGUUAAAAUUUUGACACAUAUAAGGUCUUUAAAAGAAUUAUGCUUACCCGGCCGGUUUACAAUGUUCAUUUGUGUCAUAAUACAUAUAUAAUUAUAUUUAUUAAAGUAACAUUAUAUUGUAUCAAUUAGUCAUGUAUUUUAUAUUAACCUGUAAAUUAUAAUUUAUAAAAUUGUGCUGUGAAUUUGCUUUCAACAGAAUAAAGGGCAUUAAUUAAC